rnacentral:sRNA from 1 species
GCUGGGUAUAGUGGCACAUGCCUGUACCCAGCAGCUUGGGAAGCUGAGGCAGGAGGAUCAUUGUGAGUUUAAAGCCAGCCUCAGCAAAAGUGAGAAGCUAAACAACUCAGUGAGACCCUGUUUCUA